rnacentral:lncRNA from 1 species
AGGGUUUUCUUUGAUUCAAAGUUUGAGGCUGCAGUUUGCCAUGAUGGGAAAGGACUGACGACCUUGAGCUUGUGGAGGUGAAGACUACAGCGGAAAAAAACCCCAUAAAACAGUAAACUAUUCCUUCAGGAUUUUCUUGUUCUGCACAGAACCCUUCAAAUUUCCGUGGAUUCAGAAAUAAAUGUAUGGCUAGCAGUCCAGUCCUAGGAGUACAUGACUCAACGUUGUCUGGAAACCUCUCCAUCCCAAGUCCAGACUCACUUACCUGACAGAGGAUGGUGCUAUCGAUGGAGCAAACUGUGUCUUCAUAGGAUCAAGCUUCUGACGAUGAAGAAGGUCUUGAGAAAGGAAGACCUUUUUGGUUGAGGCAGGGGAAAGAAGUCAAGCUCUCAGAAUUUCAGGAGUGGACAGAGGGAGGUUCUGUGUGGGAAGCUUGAGGGCUGUGGAAGGAGAACUCUGCAGGACAGGCAGGCAGUGCAGCAGAGACCACAGAGCUGCUAUAUCACCUUCUGCGCAUGCAGUCCAGUUUCAUAGGAUAAAUCUUUGAGAAAAAGAGACUUUAAAUCAGUAAUUAUCUACAAGGUCAUGUGAUCAGCUUGUGGUUUCCUUUUUAUUCAGCAGCAAAGGGAGCUAAGGACAUUGUAUCCGGGUCCAAAAGCAUAUUUGUUCACUGUAUAAUUUUGUAAGAAGCUCAUUUUAAGCAAAACACUGAAUGGUCAUAGAUUUAUGUCUGGCACUAUAGCUCAUUUGGUAGAGUACUUGCCCAGUAUCUGUGGGUUUGUCUUCAGUAUUCCAUAUACUGGCAUGGAGGCACAUACUUGCAUUUAUAGUUCACAGAAACAGGUUUAGAUACAUGAGGCCAAGUCUGAACAAAUAGCAACAAAACCUGAAGAUUUGUUAAUUUUUGAUAUCUAAAAUAUGCAAGUAUAUGUC